GUCCAAAACGCGUUUCGCCUGAUAUACAGGCUUCCUCAGUUGGCUCUGUGUUGUUUCCUUUCUAUUAGGACAACACAGAGCCAACUGAGGAAGCCUGUAUAUCAGGAGAAACGCAUUUUGGAC
rnacentral:miRNA from 1 species